GGGCCCGCACAAGCGGUGGAGCAUGUGGUUUAAUUCGAUGAUACGCGAGGAACCUUACCAGGGCUUAAAUGUAGUGGGACAGGUCUAGAGAUAGACCCUUCUUCGGACUCAUUACAAGGUGCUGCAUGGUUGUCGUCAGCUCGUGCCGUGAGGUGUCAGGUUAAGUCCUAUAACGAGCGCAACCCCUAUCGUUAGUUGCCAGCGAGUAAUGUCGGGAACUCUAACGAAACUGCCAGUGCAAACUGUGAGGAAGGUGGGGAUGACGUCAAAUCAUCACGGCCCUUACGUCCUGGGCUACACACGUGCUACAAUGGCCGGUACAGAGAGCAGCCACUUCGCAAGAAGGAGCGAAUCUAUAAAACCGAUCUCAGUUCGGAUCGGGGUCUGCAACUCGACCCCGUG
rnacentral:rRNA from 1 species